rnacentral:rRNA from 1 species
CUGGCGGCGUGCUUCAUACAUGCAAGUCGAACGAGAAGCUGACUUCGGUCAGUGGAAAGUGGCGGACGGGUGAGUAAUAUGUAGGAAAUCUGCCCUAGAGAGGGGGACAACAGAGGGAAACUUCUGCUAAUACCCCAUAUGAGCUUAGUUGAAAUACUAAUCUUGAAAACUCCGGUGCUCUAGGAUGAGCCUGCAUCUGAUUAGCUAGUUGGCGGUGUAAUGGACCACCAAGGCGACGAUCAGUAGCUGGUUUGAGAGGAUGAUCAGCCACAAUGGGACUGAGACACGGCCCAUACUCCUACGGGAGGCAGCAGUAGGGAAUUUUGCGCAAUGGGCGAAAGCCUGAACCGCAGCAACGCCGCGUGAACGAUUAAGCCCUUCGGGGUGUAAAGUUCUGUCAGUGGGGACGAAACUUGACGGUACCCACAGAGGAAGCACCGGCUAACUCCGUGCCAGCAGCUGC